rnacentral:rRNA from 1 species
GCUUAGCCCUCAACACAGACAAGACAAACACAAACCUGUCCGCCAGAGAACUACAAGUGAAAAACUAGAAACUCCAAGGACUUGGCGGUGCUCCAUACCGACCUAGAGGAGCCUGUCCUAUAAUCGAUACCCCACGUUUCACCCCACCAUUUUUUGCACCUCAGCCUAUAUACCGCCGUCGUCAGCCCACCUUGUGAAAGAAACAAAAUAGGCAAAACAGUUAAUAACUAGAACGUCAGGUCAAGGUGUAGCACAUAAAAUGGAAGAGAUGGGCUACAUUUUCUAACCCAGAAAAUACGAACAGCACAAUGAAACCCGCGCUUGAAGGUGGAUUUAGAAGUAAGAAAAGCAAGAAAGCCUCUCUUAACUACGCUCUGGAGCGCGC